GGUGGCUCAGUGGUUGAGUGCUUGCCUCCCAUGCAUGAGACCCUGGGUUCGAUUCCUUAGCACCA
rnacentral:tRNA from 1 species